UCAAUAAACCACUGGGGAAGGAAAGGUUUUGGAGACUAUUAGUUCGUAAGGGAGUCUCUCCUAAAAGAGCCUUUAGGGUUUUUGUAGCUGCAACCCUGAGCCAACCUCGUCUGCUGGGUUCGGCCGCUGGCGUCGCACCAGUUUAUGAUAUCUAUCCUUUUGGGGCCUUUAGGGAAGUGUCUGAAAUAGAGGCUGCUCGGAUUUGAUUUUCUAAAUCCUCGGAUGCAGCUCUGGUUUACUGAGAAAUCAGAAUAAGGAAGUCAGCCCAAGAGCCCGCAGUUGCCGGAGAGCGUCCUGUCACUUGGAACGGUGAGGAAAGCAAGAAGAAACCAAGAGGAGAGCCUUCGACCAGCUCCCCUUCUCUUCCGGUUCCACCGCUCUGGGGACAGUAACCUCAAUUCCAGGGUACAAGCUGGAGAUGUAAACAGGAAAAUCCUCGGGCGGCCUCUCGCACCGCUGGGCGGGGCGGCUUGAUUCUUUGGAAGGGAGAGAAGUGGCAUGAGGCGGGGCGACAGGGGAUGGUCCCCGGCCGCAGCCCGCUGCCCAGCCGAAGGGCGACACUGGCGCCUGCACGCGGGAUUUAGGAGCUCAGAACCAGAUUCGAGGGUCAAAACUUCGAGGUUGUGGAGUGGAAACGUUUGUUUGGUAUUCUGAUUGAUGCAGAUUACUUGAACGGGGCAACUAAAACGGCAGCACGGGCAACCUUGCAGAAGUGCUAUCCACGAAUUGGGUGAAUUGUUUCUGUUCAGCUCCUUCCGCCGCUCGCCCACCUAAAGCAAACAACCUAACGGGUUCUGGCAGGGACGCACUGCAGAGCGGUAUGGCGAGCCUCGGAGCUGCCACUAAGGCUGCAGAGGUGAGAACCCUUUGCUUCGGACUCCGGAACUCAGCGCCUGUACCGGAUCUUGGAGAAAUGAAAGUUGGGAGAGUAGAGUGAAAUCGCCUGGGGCUCUGACUCCCAUCUGACUUGAAAUCUCGCUAGGACGUUUACACGUAAUAAAUAGGGUCUUUUACUCAAGCCACACAAAACUUUAGUAUUUAAAAACAAAUUCGUGCCCCCAGUGACGCGUCUCUCAUCCCCACUUCCACCCACCACCCUGGUCGUCACGGUUUAGGAAGAGAAGGAAGCAGCGGCUGGAGCACCAAGGUCCCGGGAGGCAAGUCCCCGUGCCCCACCUGCUCCCCCGGCUCUUUGCGCCUCUCAUCCCCGUUCCCUCGCGCUCUUUCGCCUCCUCCUCAGGAGUCCGCAUGCCAGACACCGGGCUGUCAAAAUGAUCCGGUCCACGCGGACUUUGAGAAAACAUGGAGGUUUUAGGACUCCUGAUUCCCCGUCCUCUGGGAGGCCGCCUGGCCCCACGCAGUCCCCACCACUCUCUCGGAGCCUCGGUCCAGGUAGCAAAAAGCUACUAUUCGGUUCACAAAAUCCUAGACCCUGCGGUCUCUGUCACUAGUGUGUAUCUGGACCAUACAUCCUGUCUCUGAGACGCCUUGGCUCACCAGCGCCCGGCUAGCUCAGUCGGUAGAGCAUGAGACUCUUAAUCUCAGGGUCGUGGGUUCGAGCCCCACGUUGGGCGCACGCGGUUAUUUUUCUAUUUCUAUUAAAUCCUCUUUUGGCAACCAACAA